UAAACCUGACCCGGCCCACCAUCAACAAAUCCCCCUUUUCUCCCUUAAUCAGCAAGAACUGGUCUCCAACGCAAAAACAACCAAAAAUGGCGCACGACUCCAGAAACUCGAACAACAACGACAAACUCGAUUCAAUGAAUCCACCAUCGAACCAACCCAAAAUUGAUCCCAAACUAUUCUUUUUCCCUCUUUCACGUGUCUCACGCGGCAGUAGGAUAAGGAAAAACCUCGAACCUUCUAGAAAACAAGCCAGGUGUCAUCCCCCAACAUCUAACUCUGCGAAUUUUGGGAUAAUGGAUCGCAGUAGUAUUUUCAGUUGGUGGUGGUUGAGCUUUCGUCGUAGGCUCGAGAUCCAUUUUGCUGCCCAAAAACCGGUCAGUACUCGACUCUCUCUUUUACUAUUGCAUUGUAACGGUUGCAGUAUUGUCGUGUUGUAGCAGUAGCGGGUAUGAUUAUUGUCUUGCUGGGAUGUUCGCUGUUAGAGGCUUUGAAAGCCAUUGGUUGUGAUGAAUGUAGGCUGGUUUUCGGAUAUACUUGUGGCGUAUUGGGAGUGCCUUUCUUACUUAAAUCUGAUUUUAUUUUGUAUAGCUUGUCAAUCCGAUUACUUGCCCACAGCUAAUCAGAAUGAGGAAUUUAGCAUAGAGGUGCUUUGAAAUACUGUUUAUUUAGUGUUCGAGGAUGUAAAUGGAUGAGGUAGAAUCGGAAGUUGUGUUAGAUUUAUCUUUCAUUAACAUGGUCUGUUGAGUCUUUAGGGUCGAUUUGAACAAAACUGUGGCUAAAAAUGGUAUUUGAAUUGAAGUCUAGCUAACGAGUUGAUUGUUUUCUUUUGUUUUGAUGAUUAACUUGAUAUGCACUUCUAUUUAUCUGCAUACGUCGAUUAAUAAAGAAGAAAGUUUUAUCUUCAACAUGACAUGUGAUUUGUCAGAAUGAUGACUAGUUCUCCUGCCCAUUGUUGUUCAUGUUCAAAACCCUUGUAACAAUGUUCUUUUCAUCCCAUAUCCACAUCAAGGAUUAUUUGUUUUCGUGAUUGGAGGUCAUCUAUGCAUUUCCUAUCCUUGCGUCGUCUCCAAUAUGGCUAUUAUAUUUUGGAGCACUGUAUAAGUUGACUAGCCUUGAUUCAUUAUAUUUCAAUAAAAAGUUUCUGUUCAAAGCUUGCCGAAAAGUUUCUCUGAUUAUCUAAGUGACUAUAUGUUAGUAAGCAUUUUAUCUGUUUGUCUGACUAUAGUGUUAAGUAAAAGCAAACUUACCCAGACAUAAGUGUGAAUUUGGUUUUCUUAAUAGCUAAGGAAUCAUAGUUUGUUAUGUUUAAUUGGAUAAGGAAAAUACGAGUGAUUCUCCAAAAAAUGUCUAAGUUAUGUGAAUAUGAAGUCCCCUUCGAAUGUCUGCCUGGUUGUUCAUAUCGAAGUUGGGAGGCUCGUAUCGACUUAAAAUUCUUGGAUUGCCUUUUGGUGGUGUUGGUCUUCUUCCUGUUCAUUUCAUUUACUGUUGAACAUCUACGAACUGCCUCCGUCGCUCUUGUUUCUUUAAAGAGGUCACUAGUCCGCGUAGUCCUCAAUUUGACUUAGUAAAUUUCCCUGCGUGUCAUACAUAAAAUUGGUCUUUUAUUGAGUAGUAAACUUAUUUGAAUAUGCUCUGACCAAUGGGUAAACCAUUUCCUGUUGAAAUUUUGCAUGAGAUUUUUUUUUUUUUUGCUAAUUAACGUGCCCUUUUUAUAUAUUCGACAUUCGCCCUCCCAUUAAAUAAGAUGCAUGAUAUUUUAACAUUUUGAAUAUUAGUUAAAACAUGUAUUAAUAACUAAUUUUCUUUUCUUUCUUUUGUAUGUGAAAACAUCCGAGUCUAAACGGACUCUAUUCCCAUUGUUGCAUUAUCAAUAUGGGCCGUUGAGGCCUAUCCUCCAUGAGUCGAUUUUGAAGGCCCUAAGGAAACAAUCUCAUAGUGUACGGAUACAAGGAGUUGAAAGAAGAAGAGUGGGUUAAGAUCCCACAUUUGAAGCGGCCAAGAGACUUAAAAGUCUCGGUUUCCAUUUCAUUUAUUUAUUUAUUUAAGUCAUUUAUUAUUAUUAUUUUUAUUUAUUUAGUUAUUUAUUUUUAUUCAUUCAUUCGGGCCGAGAAGCCAAAGUUGUAUUUAAUAUAGGUGGAACAAGAUUCGAGUCAAAGGCUCAAAAACUAGAUUAGGACAGGUGAAAUGGGUCAAAGGCCCGAUUAGACUAGGACAGGUUUUGUUGGUUUGCGCCCAAUGGCCUAAAUCGUUUACUAUCUCCUCCCUUUCCCCGUUUA